AGCAUUUGCUGUACCGCGUUGACGGAGCGAAGCGACGUCAAACCGAUAAAACAGCAGUGUAAAGUGAGCCGCAGGGCGCUUUGCGCGACAGCGCAAAGGCAGGCGGUUUCGCGUAGCGAAAGCGAAUGCUUUGGGGUGGGGUGACUGCGUACCUUUUGUAUAAUGGGUCAGCGACUUAUAUUCUGUAGCAAGGUUAACCGAAUAGGGGAGCCGGAGGGAAACCGAGUCUUAACCGGGCGUUAAGUUGCAGGGUAUAGACCCGAAACCCGGUGAUCUAGCCAUGGGCAGGUUGAAGGUUGGGUAACACUAACUGGAGGACCGAACCGACUAAUGUUGAAAAAUUAGCGGAUGACCUGUGGCUGGGGGUGAAAGGCCAAUCAAACCGGGAGAUAGCUGGUUCUCCCCGAAAGCUAUUUAGGUAGCGCCUCGUGAAUUCAUCUCCGGGGGUAGAGCACUGUUUCGGCUAGGGGGCCAUCCCGGCUUACCAACCCGAUGCAAACUGCGAAUACCGGAGAAUGUUAUCACGGGAGACACACGGCGGGUGCUAACGUCCGUCGUGAAGAGGGAAACAACCCAGACCGCCAGCUAAGGUCCCAAAGUCAUGGUUAAGUGGGAAACGAUGUGGGAAGGCCCAGACAGCCAGGAUGUUGGCUUAGAAGCAGCCAUCAUUUAAAGAAAGCGUAAUAGCUCACUGGUCGAGUCGGCCUGCGCGGAAGAUGUAACGGGGCUAAACCAUGCACCGAAGCUGCGGCAGCGACACUGUGUGUUGUUGGGUAGGGGAGCGUUCUGUAAGCCUGUGAAGGUGUGUCGUGAGGCAUGCUGGAGGUAUCAGAAGUGCGAAUGCUGACAUAAGUAACGAUAAAGCGGGUGAAAAGCCCGCUCGCCGGAAGACCAAGGGUUCCUGUCCAACGUUAAUCGGGGCAGGGUGAGUCGACCCCUAAGGCGAGGCCGAAAGGCGUAGUCGAUGGGAAACGGGUUAAUAUUCCCGUACUUGGUGUUACUGCGAAGGGGGGACGGAGAAGGCUAUGUUGGCCGGGCGACGGUUGUCCCGGUUUAAGCGUGUAGGUGUGUGUUCCAGGUAAAUCCGGUUCACUUUAACACUGAGGCGUGACGACGAGGCACUACGGUGCUGAAGCAACAAAUGCCCUGCUUCCAGGAAAAGCCUCUAAGCAUCAGGUAACAUCAAAUCGUACCCCAAACCGACACAGGUGGUCAGGUAGAGAAUACCAAGGCGCUUGAGAGAACUCGGGUGAAGGAACUAGGCAAAAUGGUGCCGUAACUUCGGGAGAAGGCACGCUGACACGUAGGUGAAGUGAUUUACUCAUGGAGCUGAAGUCAGUCGAAGAUACCAGCUGGCUGCAACUGUUUAUUAAAAACACAGCACUGUGCAAACACGAAAGUGGACGUAUACGGUGUGACGCCUGCCCGGUGCCGGAAGGUUAAUUGAUGGGGUCAGCGCAAGCGAAGCUCCUGAUCGAAGCCCCGGUAAACGGCGGCCGUAACUAUAACGGUCCUAAGGUAGCGAAAUUCCUUGUCGGGUAAGUUCCGACCUGCACGAAUGGCGUAAUGAUGGCCAGGCUGUCUCCACCCGAGACUCAGUGAAAUUGAACUCGCUGUGAAGAUGCAGUGUACCCGCGGCAAGACGGAAAGACCCCGUGAACCUUUACUAUAGCUUGACACUGAACAUUGAGCCUUGAUGUGUAGGAUAGGUGGGAGGCUUUGAAGUGUGGACGCCAGUCUGCAUGGAGCCGACCUUGAAAUACCACCCUUUAAUGUUUGAUGUUCUAACGUGGACCCGUUACCCGGGUUGCGGACAGUGUCUGGUGGGUAGUUUGACUGGGGCGGUCUCCUCCUAAAGAGUAACGGAGGAGCACGAAGGUUGGCUAAUCCUGGUCGGACAUCAGGAGGUUAGUGCAAUGGCAUAAGCCAGCUUGACUGCGAGCGUGACGGCGCGAGCAGGUGCGAAAGCAGGUCAUAGUGAUCCGGUGGUUCUGAAUGGAAGGGCCAUCGCUCAACGGAUAAAAGGUACUCCGGGGAUAACAGGCUGAUACCGCCCAAGAGUUCAUAUCGACGGCGGUGUUUGGCACCUCGAUGUCGGCUCAUCACAUCCUGGGGCUGAAGUAGGUCCCAAGGGUAUGGCUGUUCGCCAUUUAAAGUGGUACGCGAGCUGGGUUUAGAACGUCGUGAGACAGUUCGGUCCCUAUCUGCCGUGGGCGCUGGAGAACUGAGGGGGGCUGCUCCUAGUACGAGAGGACCGGAGUGGACGCAUCACUGGUGUUCGGGUUGUCAUGCCAAUGGCACUGCCCGGUAGCUAAAUGCGGAAGAGAUAAGUGCUGAAAGCAUCUAAGCACGAAACUUGCCCCGA
rnacentral:rRNA from 1 species